GCGGAGGGAUCAUUACACAACAAAAUAUGAAGGCCUGGCUUUCGCGGCCGGCUGAAGUAUUUUUUUCACCCAUGUCUUUUGCGCACUUGUUGUUUCCUGGGCGGGUUCGCCCGCCACCAGGACCAAACCAUAAACCUUUUUUUCUUAUGCAGUUUCCAUCAGCGUCAGUAAAAACAAUGUAAUUAUUACAACUUUCAACAACGGAUCUCUUGGUUCUGGCAUCGAUGAAGAACGCAGCGAAAUGCGAUACGUAGUGUGAAUUGCAGAAUUCAGUGAAUCAUCGAAUCUUUGAACGCACAUUGCGCCCUUUGGUAUUCCAAAGGGCAUGCCUGUUCGAGCGUCAUUUGUACCUUCAAGCUUUGCUUGGUGUUGGGCGUUUUUUUGUCUCCCUCUUUCUGGGAGACUCGCCUUAAAACGAUUGGCAGCCGGCCUACUGGUUUCGGAGCGCAGCACAUUUUUUGCGCUUUGUAUCAGGAGAAAAGGACGGUACUCCAUCAAGACUCUACAUUUUUCACUUUUGACCUCGGAUCAGGUAGGGA
rnacentral:rRNA from 1 species